AUCAACUUUCGAUGGUAGGAUAGAGGCCUACCAUGGUGGUAACGGGUAACGGGGUGUUAGGGCACGACACCGGAGAGGGAGCCUGAGAAACGGCUACCACAUCCAAGGAUGGCAGCAGGCGCGCAAAUUACCCAAUCCCGACACGGGGAGGUAGUGACAAUAAAUAACAAUACGGGGUUCUUUCGGAUUUCGUAAUUGGAAUGAGUACAAUUUAAAUCUCUUAACGAGGAACAAUUGGAGGGCAAGUCUGGUGCCAGCAGCCGCGGUAAUUCCAGCUCCAAUAGCGUAUAUUAAAGUUGCUGCAGUUAAAAAGCUCGUAGUUGAAUUUCGGGACUAAUAUGUCGGUCGUGCCUCGGUACGUACUGGUAUUUUUGGUUUCUCCCUUCUGAUGAACCUUGAUGUCAUUAAUUUGGUGUCUUGGGAAAUCAGGACUGUUACUUUGAAAAAAUUAGAGUGUUUAAAGCAGGCUCACGCUUGAAUACAUUAGCAUGGGAUAAUGAAAUAGGACGUUUGAUUCUAUUUUGUUGGUUUCUAGGAUCGACGUAAUGAUUAAUAGGGAUAGUUGGGGGCAUUAGUAUUCAAUUGUCAGAGGUGAAAUUCUUGGAUUUAUUGAAGACUAACUACUGCGAAAGCAUUUGCCAAGGAUGUUUUCAUUAAUCAAGAACGAAAGUUAGGGGAUCGAAGACGAUCAGAUACCGUCGUAGUCUUAACCAUAAACUAUGCCGACUAGGGAUCGGAUGAUGUUGAUUUUUUAAUGACUCAUUCNGCGCCUUACGGGAAACCAAAGUGUUUGGGUUC
rnacentral:rRNA from 1 species